AUGAGAUUUGGAGCUGAAAGAACAGGAUUUAGUGUCUGCACCUGCUUCCUCAAAAGUACAUGGAACUUCAUGCCUAUUCCUCGGAACCAUGACUGGGGGGUGAGAAGUGACUGUGAAAGCACCGUUAAACCAUCAGGCAUUAUACUGUCAGGUUGUUCCAUGAGGUGGUUCGUCCAGGAUACUGCUCAACUGGCACUCCUUGUCCUGUGCUUGUCAAUGUAUGCUGUUGUAUCGAGUCAUGGAGAUCCCUCCUCGGAAGUUCACGGUCCUAUUGGAGAGAAAUGAUCACUUCAGCCACAACCCCUGCAGGUGGGCCACCACUUUUGCUUUCCGUUUCCUCUAAAACCCAGUAUAUUGCCACAUUGCCUGGAGAGGGGCCCCCCAGUGGGUUCCUGUGUAACCACCCCCAGCAGACUCUAAGCCAAGGGUGGAUGAUGGUCCUGUAAGAGCAAAAAAAUGACCAGGAAAUAGACAUAGGUUUAUUAGGGGGAACUUACAGGAAGUCCAGGAGAGGCUGACUGGACAAAGCAUCCAUGGCUGGAAUCUGCAUGAAGCAAGUUUUUAUGGUUUAACAACUAGCCUAGCAACUCUCUGUAGCCAAUCCCCUCCUAGCAUGGCCAGUGUUCUAAGGAGAUCAAGGUCUGCCACCCAGAUAUUCUCUGUUACAGAGGAAAUGCUCCAGGUUGGCCAUUCCCAGAGCCACUGACCUUGAAUACUAAACAUGUUCCUCUGUAUCUUCUGCCUGAUGGGAAUAUAGGAGGAUGGGAUCUGUAUAUUCUCAAGAUAGUGAUCAACAGGGACAUUCAGGGUGUGCUUGUAUAAACCAAACAUCCAGCAUAUACCAUGCAGUUCCUCUCUGCCUCUAAACUCCUCCCUAUCCCACUGGGAUGACAUGCUGGGAUCUUCCACCAGGUUGGCUUAGACCCCCCCACAAAUCUGUCUCCUGUGCAUGUCUACCCAGUUCUGUACUCUCCAGGUUCACCUCUUUCCCAGUCAUAGAAGGGGAGGUGGGGCAGGCUCACUGACUCCUUGGGUCCACAGUCUCUUCCAAGGUCCUAUCUACCCACUUUCA
rnacentral:lncRNA from 1 species